AUUGAACGCUGGCGGCAGGCCUAACACAUGCAAGUCGAGCGGUAGCACAGAGAGCUUGCUCUCGGGUGACGAGCGGCGGACGGGUGAGUAAUGUCUGGGAAACUGCCUGAUGGAGGGGGAUAACUACAGGAAACGGUAGCUAAUACCGCAUAAUGUCGCAAGACCAAAGUGGGGGCCCUUCGGGCCUCAUGCCAUCAGAUGUGCCCAGAUGGGAUUAGCUAGUAGGUGGGGUAACGGCUCACCUAGGCGACGAUCCCUAGCUGGUCUGAGAGGAUGACCAGCCACUCUGGAACUGAGACACGGUCCAGACUCCUACGGGAGGCAGCAGUGGGGAAUAUUGCACAAUGGGCGCAAGCCUGAUGCAGCCAUGCCGCGUGUAUGAAGAAGGCCUUCGGGUUGUAAAGUACUUUCAGCGGGGAGGAAGGCGAUAAGGUUAAUAACCUUGUCGAUUGACGUUACCCGCAGAAGAAGCACCGGCUAACUCCGUGCCAGCAGCCGCCGCGG
rnacentral:rRNA from 1 species